rfam:Camelus ferus unplaced genomic scaffold scaffold2690, whole genome shotgun sequence.
GAGGGUAUAGCUCAUUAGCAGAGUGCAUGCCUAGCAUGCACAAGGUCCUGGGUUCAAUCUCUAGUACCUCCA